AAUAAAUCAAAUUUUCACUUUUUACGUACAAUGUUUGACUCUGUCUUAUUAAAAAUUUUGUAAGAUUAACAUUUUUGUUUUUAUUAGAUGAUAAAACAUGAACAUUACUCUAUAUGUGACUAUUUUUUUAUUUCUUACAAAAAUUUCAGAUAAGACGGAUGGUCGGGCAUGGAAACCAAAAGUUUGGUUUAUU
rnacentral:pre_miRNA from 1 species